GUGGGGAAUAUUGGACAAUGGGCGAAAGCCUGAUCCAGCCAUGCCGCGUGUGUGAAGAAGGUCUUCGGAUUGUAAAGCACUUUAAGUUGGGAGGAAGGGCAGUAAGUUAAUACCUUGCUGUUUUGACGUUACCGACAGAAUAAGCACCGGCUAACUUCGUGCCAGCAGCCGCGGUAAUACGAAGGGUGCAAGCGUUAAUCGGAAUUACUGGGCGUAAAGCGCGCGUAGGUGGUUUUGUAAGUUGGAGGUGAAAGCCCCGGGCUCAACCUGGGAACUGCCUCCAAAACUGCAUGACUAGAGUACGGUAGAGGGUAGUGGAAUUUCCUGUGUAGCGGUGAAAUGCGUAGAUAUAGGAAGGAACACCAGUGGCGAAGGCGACCACCUGGACUGAUACUGACACUGAGGUGCGAAAGCGUGGGGAGCAAACAGGAUUAGAAACCCGGGUAGUCC
rnacentral:rRNA from 1 species